UACGUAGGGUGCAAGCGUUAAUCGGAAUUACUGGGCGUAAAGCGUGCGCAGGCGGUGAUGUAAGACAGAUGUGAAAUCCCCGGGCUCAACCUGGGAACUGCAUUUGUGACUGCAUCGCUGGAGUACGGCAGAGGGGGAUGGAAUUCCGCGUGUAGCAGUGAAAUGCGUAGAUAUGCGGAGGAACACCGAUGGCGAAGGCAAUCCCCGGGGCCUGUACUGACGCUCAUGCACGAAAGCGUGGGGAGCAAACAGG
rnacentral:rRNA from 1 species